rnacentral:rRNA from 1 species
AGAGUUUGAUCCUGGCUCAGGACGAACGCUGGCGGCGCGCCUAACACAUGCAAGUCGAACGAGCGAGAGAGAGCUUGCUUUCUCGAGCGAGUGGCGAACGGGUGAGUAACGCGUGAGGAACCUGCCUCAAAGAGGGGGACAACAGUUGGAAACGACUGCUAAUACCGCAUAAGCCCACGGCUCGGCAUCGAGCAGAGGGAAAAGGAGCAAUCCGCUUUGAGAUGGCCUCGCGUCCGAUUAGCUAGUUGGUGAGGUAACGGCCCACCAAGGCGACGAUCGGUAGCCGGACUGAGAGGUUGAACGGCCACAUUGGGACUGAGACACGGCCCAGACUCCUACGGGAGGCAGCAGUGGGGAAUAUUGCACAAUGGGGGAAACCCUGAUGCAGCGACGCCGCGUGGAGGAAGAAGGUCUUCGGAUUGUAAACUCCUGUUGUUGAGGAAGAUAAUGACGGUACUCAACAAGGAAGUGACGGCUAACUACGUGCCAGCAGCCGCGGUAAAACGUAGGUCACAAGCGUUGUCCGGAAUUACUGGGUGUAAAGGGAGCGCAGGCGGGAAGACAAGUUGGAAGUGAAAUCCAUGGGCUUAACCCAUGAACUGCUUUCAAAACUGUUUUUCUUGAGUAGUGCAGAGGUAGGCGGAAUUCCCGGUGUAGCGGUGGAAUGCGUAGAUAUCGGGAGGAACACCAGUGGCGAAGGCGGCCUACUGGGCACCAACUGACGCUGAGGCUCGAAAGUGUGGGUAGCAAACAGGAUUAGAUACCCUGGUAGUCCGCACGGUAAACGAUGGAUGCCCGCUGUUGGUCUGAAUAGGUCAGCGGCCAAGCGAAAGCAUUAAGCAUCCCACCUGGGGAGUACGCCGGCAACGGUGAAACUCAAAGGAAUUGACGGGGGCCCGCACAAGCGGAGGAACAUGUGGUUUAAUUCGAUGAUACGCGAGGAACCUUACCCGGGCUUGAAUUGCAGAGGAAGGAUUUGGAGACAAUGACGCCCUUCGGGGCCUCUGUGAAGGUGCUGCAUGGUUGUCGUCAGCUCGUGCCGUGAGGUGUCGGCUUAAGUGCCAUAACGAGCGCAACCCCUCUCCUUAGUUGCCAUCAGGUUAAGCUGGGCACUCUGGGGACACUGCCACCGUAAGGCGUGAGGAAGGUGGGGAUGACGUCAAAUCAGCACGGCCCUUACGUCCGGGGCUACACACGUGUUACAAUGGCAGGUACAGAGAGACGGUUGUACGUAAGUACGAUCAAAUCCUUAAAGCCUGUCUCAGUUCGGACUGGGGUCUGCAACCCGACCCCACGAAGCUGGAUUCGCUAGUAAUCGCGCAUCAGCCAUGGCGCGGUGAAUACGUUCCCGGGCCUUGUACACACCGCCCGUCAAGCCAUGAAAGCCGGGGGCGCCUAAAGUCCGUGACCGUAAGGAGCGGCCUAGGGCGAAACUGGUAAUUGGGGCUAAGUCGUAACAAGGUA